rnacentral:tRNA from 1 species
CCCUGUGGCUCAGUUGGUAGAGCAUGGUGUGUGCAACGCCAGGGUUGUGGGUUCGAUUCCCACAAGGG